AUGACUCCUGGCAACGGAUAUCUAGGCUCUUGCAUCGAUGAAGAACGUAGCGAAAUGCGAUACGUGGUGUGAAUUGCAGAAUCCCGCGAACCAUCGAAUCUUCGAACGCAAGUUGCGCCCGAGGCCCAAGGGUCGAGGGCACGCCUGCCUGGGCGUCACGC
rnacentral:rRNA from 1 species